CCACCCUGCCACAGCUUCGGGACGACUGGAUCGCCGCGCCUGGGCCGGAGCGAGCCAUCUGCGGGCACUAUGCAAAGCGGGAGACGGCGCGAGCGGCGCCCGGCUCACACUAGCUCUUCCAGGACGCAGGUCUUUUUUUUUUUUUUUCUUUUUCUUUUUUCAUUUCCCAGAUACAGCUGAUCGAGUUCGCCGAGUGGCCGAGCGAGUGAGCGCUCCUCCGACUUGGGUGGAGGAAGGCACGGAAAAGUAUACGGGAGAAAAAGUGGGGGUUUUAGGGGUGGGGGUGGCAUAGGAGGAGGGAGGGGGGGAUCUGCAAAUCAUUCCACUUUUUAAACGAUCAUAGGUAGUGUCAAGGAUACGUGUCACCCUUGGUUCCUUUUAAAGGGGAGGUGGACAAUAAAAUACAGGUAGGUUUGGUAUUAAAAUAAUAGGUGCCAGAGGUUUCACAUCGGGUCCGCUGCAUCUGUUAUUAGACGAAGAUCAACAUUGGCUGAGUCCCAGUUUAUCUCCAGUCCAAAUUAUCAGGAAGAGGAAUAUUUACCCUUGGUUACCUCUGACAUUAGUUGGAUUGUAGGUAAAGCAGCCUUUAAAAAUAUAUAUGUUGCAAACAUCUGGCGAUUACCCUUCACUAAUUCACUCGCCCCAGAAAGACCAAAGAUAGCUGUUCAAUACAGGAUUUACACAGUUUUGACGCCUGGGCAACAAACUUUAAAGUUUAUUAGGCAAGAAAUUUCAAACGCAUAAAUCGCAGGCUCUAAAAUAAAGCCCUAGAAAAUUUACUUUGGUUUGACAUUUCUUGCUUGAAAAAUAACCAGCAAAAUUUCUUUAGAUAAUGUGGCUCUUAAAGAUCUCCUUGGGCUUUGCAAGUUACAAAUGCAAGCGAGCCUCAGCCGCAGCUAGAACGUCCCUUUCACCGGGCACAGUAAACGGCUUUUAAUAAAGCAGCCGCGUUUAUGACCUAAAGAUCCUAUAAAAGCUGGGACUUGCAAGAGCUGCGAAGCAGAAACAUUCAUACAUAGUCUAUUAGACACUCAUUUUUGUAAGUAGGAGGAGGACAAGUAGUCUUCGUGUGUCCCUCAAAUUUAAUCAGAUCAAAGGUUGAAUCAUGCUGUGUCGUGACAACAGGGUAUUUAUGAGGUGUGUUACAAGUACACUGGCCAAACACUACCAAUGUCUUCUGCGACACACACACACACACACUCCUUCCUAGGGAAUUUACAAUUUCAGCCUCAAAUUCACCAAACCGUAAAGAGGAUAUUAAGCCCUCCCUUUGAAUAAGAAUAGCGAUGUUAGUAUGUCCGAGUCUAUCCCGGCAGGAAACUUUUGGCACGAAUUUCAAACAGUGAAAAGGAGAAAAAAAAUUAGGUCGGUCAGGUUAGGUGUCGGCGAUAAGAAAAGAGAUUGCGGGAGCAUCCCCAGCCUUCUUCUUUCCCCUUUUGCCGCCCCCACACACUCCCCCCACGCGUCUAUCACGGAAGCAACACAGAGGAGCGCACACGCACCACUCACACCUCCAACUAUUGACUGUUGUAUCAGGUGUUCUAACCGGGAUGUGACAGUUGAGGCUGGGAGCAGAAAUAAUCAACAUGCCCAUUAGAUACAGGACGGAAUAAUGCUUCUAUUGGUUGGGUCCCUUCGAGAGAGAACCAUUCUCUGCUUUCAAUAGGACAGAAGAGCUCCUUGGCACUGGAUGCCUCCGGGUCUGGUUGAGAGAGGAAUGGUUAGGAGACUGUUCUGAGGAUACGCAGACAUCAUCCAAAGCUUCCUACAUUCAGAUGAGGACAGAGGUUGGGCCAGAGCUUUGUAAGCUUGUUACCUAAGGAUGGUUCUGACCAUGUAAGCAGAUCACAGAAGCUGGAGGCAAAGGAUGCCAAGAUGGGAAAGCCACAUAAUGGAAGGAUCCUGGAUUUCAGAGCUGUCACUUGGAGGAGGGGCACCCAGUGAAGGUGUCUUAUCUAACCCACACCAUAUCUUCAUGAAGUGGCCAUAUGGAUUUGAUCCCUAUCCUUCAGAGGUGCUCAGCCUAAGGGAACACGGAUAGUAGAUUAAGCACUGACCAGAGCCAGCCUUGACAAUGUGCUGAUGGCAACCUAGAACAUAAGCAGAGGAGUAUACAGGACAAGAACUUGAUGGUCUCGGGAAAAUGGACAACAUGACUCAGGUGAAAAAGAUUGAUCAUCAGAUGUUUCUUAUGUAUCAACCUGAUAUUUAAAUCCAUGAAGGACAGAGACGACAAAGGCAGGUGGAAUAGAUAGAGAAGAGAUUCAAGGUCUGAGCUCUACAUUACUCAAACUGUUAGAGAUUAGGAAGAAGAGGAAGACCUGGCAAAAGAAUGUCCUGGGAUGUAGAAAGAAAACCAGAAGCUUGUGUUCUCUGGAAACCAAAUGAAGAAAGGGCUUCCAGAAGGACAGACAAAGUGUAGUGUGUCAAAGGCUCCUGAGCAAUCAGAGGAGAGCACAAAGGGGCUCACAGGACUUUGGUAUCUGGAUCACCCAGUGACACUUCCUGAUCACGAGAAACUGUCAGACCAACAGGGGCACUUUCUGAAACCAGCAGUUCUUCAGUGCCCAAAUGCAACCUUGAUGGUUUGAUUUUGGAGGAUGGCAAUUCAUUAACAGCACUCCCCAGUGAUAAAUAUGAAAACCAAUAAAACCCCCCACCCAAGGCAAUCUCUCCCAGCUCCUCGCUUUGAGUAAAGUGAGUAACCUCCAUUUCUGCCAACUCCUGUCUUGUCUGAAGCCACAUUUCCCCAGCAAUGUCACAUAUGCAUUUCUUGAUCCUGGUCAUUUCUCCUCUUGGGAGAUGAAUCAUAAAGAAAAUGAGAUCUGUGUGCCCUGGUGACUAUGGAUGCAAGAGUCUGCUGCCCUGGAGGGAACAGCUGGAAAAGUAGAUGGUGAAGACGUGUGGGGGGGAAACAGUGGAGAAGGCAUCUUUGCAGGGGAUCAAGGUGACAGAGUGAUUAGUUACACUGUUUUGACAUGUGAGAACAGGGGGUUAUAAAAAUGGAUACAGGAAGAGGGAGAGAAAGUAAGGACCAAAACAUGAAGCCAGUCAUGAAUGUUUUUACAUAAAAAGCAGCAGAUUUACGGCAAAUAUGUGAUGUUUCCACAUUUUCUGCCUCUAGUUAGCAGGGGCAGCACAAAGAGCAUUACUGUGGAGCUGAACUUUGGGUAAAAGAUUAACAGCCAGUCCUUUCUCUCCAGUGUCUGCUUCCUUCUGGGCUUGCCCUGGGGGAAAAGGAGGGCUGGCAUGGAUAUGCCUGCAGCCCUCACCCUAGAUGUUCUUCCACGCCUCUCUGUUCAUUCAUUGCUUAGUCAUUCCUCAGGCAUGGAUUGAGACCACUGUGUGCCCAGGACCGACCUGGCCUAGGAUGGACAUAGAGAUGGAAAAGGCACAGGGAGCAGGUGACAGAGACAAAUCAAGGUCAUGGAGAAUAGCAGAGUAAGAUAGAAGAUGAAGGCAGGAGAUGGGGUUCUUGAGAAAGCGAGAGCAGGACUGACCCGUGUCUGCCUCACCUGUUAUUGCUGUAGCCUCUUCUCCUUGGAGUAUCCCUCCUGCUCUUGCAUCACCUUAGGAACUUGGAUCAGAGAGGAAAGUUACGGCCUGGAUAUGUUGUAGUAGGAGGGGACAAACAUGUUUGGAGACAGAAAUGCUUGGGGAGCGGGUGUUUUUGGGGGAUGAGACUUUCCAGGUCUCUCAAUUCACACUAUGUAGGUAGUUCACUGCACAGCUUAAAUAAGAGACAACUCUCCGGAGUGGUUGGCUCUCAUCCAAAAAAUGUGUUUUGGGCCUCAGAUUUCCAACGGAAGGGCUGAAGCGUGACUGGCCUGAUGUCAACUACUGAAGUCCACCUGCCCCUGCCCUAUCAGGUGUGGAAAUGCUGGGGUUCCUCUCUCAGAACCUACUUCCUGAGAUGUCGAAAUAUACCCAAGAGUAUUUCUGGGCCUUCUCCAAUCCGAAACUGUUUAGUUUUUGUGUGUGUGUGCCUACUUGGCCACACUAGAAGACAGAGGUGGCCUGGGUGAAAUGCAGGUUUCUAGAGGCUCUCUGACAAAGCUCAGGCCACCAGCCCCAGGCCAGCCUGUGGGUAGUCCUGGCUGACAGUCACUUCAUACCUCACCUGGGCUUUUUGCCAAAUUCAAAGUGUGUGUAUAUGUGGAGUGCUGGGUUCCCACCACUGACAGUCUGUAAGUCAUUCACUUAGCUCAAUUUGUCUUACUUUCUUCUGAAAUUUCUUCCUUCUUGUUCUUUUUCCCAGGAGAAACCAGGAGAAGGCAGUCCUAGGGCAGUCUCCGGGCCAGCUUUCCCUAAUAAGAAGGCAGAGCUCCUCUUCACCCAGACUUCAGACCUAUAGAGGCAGCCUGGGGUCCCGGGAUGCCCUUGCACUCAGAGAUGUCCCCAGAGUCCUAGGGAAAUGGAGGAUAACUAGGAGGAAGCUGUUCAUGGCUGGCGAUGAGGUCUAUACCUUCUUGUCCGUCUCAGUGCUGUCUGCUAUUGAAUUUUUGUGCAGAUCACAUUAACUUAAAGCCAGUUCUCAAGAAGCUCCCCCUGCCGCCGGCAUAUCCACCAGUUGCUCCCCUUUCCUGCCAUUAAUCAGGGUCUGCUAGUUAGAGAACAAAUUCCUAUUUGUCCAAACAGUUGCCAACACCCCCACCCCAAGGUAGUUAAAUGAGGAUGAAUGGGUCAUUCUUAUUAAAAAAUGACUUAAAUUUCUCAAAUUCUAUUUAUGUUUCUUUUACAUCCCAAUUUUCUAUAGAUUUAGUGACUCCAAAUGAUAAGGUCUCAAGCUCAUAAUAAUUUAUCCCUUGGGUAACACACAAGGCUUGGUGGUAUUUCAGUAAUAUUCAUGACAACAGCAGCUGUCGUGCUAAUAAGGACUGAUGUCACCAGAGCACUUUCUAUGUGCCAAGCAUGGUGCACAACACUUUACAUACAUUAUGUCAUUUAAUUUUCACAAAACCUCACAGAGGUAAAUAUUAUUAUCUUCCUCUGCAUAUAAGGAAAUGAAUGUUCGGAAAGAUUAAGUCAACUCACUGAGGUCCCAUCAGUGCUCUUUCAUAUGCCUCUGUUGCAGUCUCAUUGAACUGCUGAAAUCAGAAAAACCUGGAGACCUUGUUAACCUUCAGAUUCCUGGGCCCCAUCUUAGAUGCAGGGAGUCAGACUUCCUGGGAGUGUGGCCCUGGAAUUUUCAUUUGUAAACACAUUCCCCAAGAGACCUGUAUGCACACUAAAGUGGGAGAAUUCACGAUCUCUGGCUUUUGUGAUGUUUUAAACGCACUAUAUAAUUUCAGUAGCAAAAGAAUUGGGCUUUGGGAAGGGAGUGUGUGGUGAACCCUGAAAGCUGAAUGGACUUCCUUCCUGUGGAGGAGCAGUGGGAGAAACUGGAGGCAGAGAGCUGUGUUUCAUUCCUUGAUUGAGCCUUUGUGAGUUAUUUAAUCUCUUUCAGUCUCUAUUUUUUUCAUUUGUAAACCAGGAAGGAUACUUGUAUUUUCCAGGUGGUUGUGAGGUGUGAAAGAGAUGAGAGUAGAACAAAAUUUUAAAAGUUGAAAGCACUCAACAAAUGUAUUUGGUAUUAAUCAUGGGUUUCCCUGGGGCCGAGGAAGCCACCAGCCACCGCAGGCCUGUACACAAUGCCAGCCACCAUGUAUGGAUACGGAGGAGGCAAAAGGACUAGCGAACACUCCCAGGGACUGGAUGUCUUGAAUAUCUGUCCAACUUUCUUGGGAGGGGCCAUUUCUUCUGUAACUCAAAGGAAUUUAUUAUUUUUCAGCCAGGGAGGCAUGCUUUCUAUCUACUGCUAGUACUCCCAGACCAAGCUGUUUCAGUGGGACUGAGGUGUGACUUCUGCCUCGGUUUCAUCCAUCUGUGCAGGGAAGAGAAAAAUGCCUGCACCUCCACGGUCACACCCUCUGUUGGAACCACCUCCUUAAGCCAGAAUUAUUGAAUGUUCUCUAUGUGCCAGAAUUAUUAUUAUCUCAUUUGAUUCUCACAACAAUGCCAUGAAGUCUAUACAGACAUACCUUGGAAAUACAGCGGGUUUGGUUCCAGACCACCGCAAUAAAGCUAAUACCGCAAUAAAAUGGGUCACACGAAUUUUUUGGAUUAGGCUUCGGCUUAAGGGAAUGUUGUGGCUGGUUUGAUGUUUUAUCCAGACCGCUAACACUUUCUCCCUAUCAGCAAUGAGGCUGUUUUGCUUUCUUAUCAUUCCUGUGUUCACUGGAGUAGCACUUUUAAUUUCCUUCAAGAACUUUUCCUUUGCAUUCAUAACUUGGCUAACUGUUUGGCACAAGAGGCCUGCCUAGCUUUUGGCCUAUCUAAGCUUUUGACUUGCCUUCCUCACUGAGCUUAAUCAUCUCUAGCCUUGGAUUUAACGUGGAAAAUGUGUGACCCUUCCUUUCACUUGAACACUUGGAAGCUAUUGUAGGGUUAUUAACUGGCCUAAUUCAAUAUUAUUGUGUCUCAGGGAACAGGGAGGCCCAGAGAGAGAGAGACGGGAAAACAGAAAGUCAGUGGGGCAGGCAGAACACACACGUUUAUUUAUUAAGUUUGCUGUCAUAUGUUGGUGCAGUUCAUGCUGCCCCAAAACAAUUACAAUAACAAGAUCAAAGAUUCCUGGUCAUAGAUUGCCAUAACAGAUACAGUAAUCACGAAAAAGUUUGAGAUAUUGUGAGAAUUACGCAGAUAUUGUGAGAAAUAUGACCCAGAGACAAGAAGCGAGCACAUGCCGUUAGAAAAAUGGCACCAACAGACUUGCUUGCUGCAGGGUUACACAUACCUUCAAUUUGUAAAAAAAAAAAACUGUAAUAUCUGCAAAACGCAAUAAAGAAAAGUGUAAUAAAAUGCAGUCUGCCUGAACUUCAAUUAUUCCCAUUUUAUAGAAGAGGAAAUAGAUGCAGGGAGUUUGAUCUGCCUGAACUAGUAAAUGGUAGAACUCUGGGACUAACAUUCCUAUCCUCUAUGCUACAUUCCUAGGAAAGAACGCUCAGACAGGGUUGGACUGAGAGUGUGUUAAGCUUUGCACUGUUUUGAGCCCUCUGAAGGAGUGUCCGUAUUUGAAAGCUGGCCUCCUUCCUUUCACUGGCCCUCCACAGUGUGGCCUAAGUUAUUCAAUUAGGAAGGGAAAUAAUUGGCAGUGGAGAAUGCCUCUAGCAGUGGUAAUUACCUCCAGUGCCUUGUAGGAAUAGUCAAGCUACAUUUCAGUUUAUGCUGUAAAACCUUAAUUAUAAUAUAAACAGCUGCCCUUCAGCCCAGUGGGGCAGCCUUCCCCCGCCUUCCUUCUCUGGCCUCUGAAUGGCCCUGCCUCCUGAAUGGUCAGGGAGGUCCAGGGACGGAAGGAGACCUGGGAGGAGGGGAGCCGAUGACUAUGCGUGCGUUGGGGUUUGGAAGACUAAGCUGGAGGGAGCCACUGCCAGGGUCCCAUCUUCAAGUGAUGAAGCCAAAGGCAGCAUCCCCAUUCUUGGUACCACUCACACUGAGUCUCUUGGGGGAGCAGCCUCCAGCCAUUAGCAGUCAGCCCAGUGCCAUUAGGCUAGGAUAGGGUUUAGCAGGCUAUGGUAUCAUUUCAGGGUAACAUCUCUUUCUAUUUACUCCCCUAUAAGGGAGAACAGAGUCUUCCCUUCUAGAUCCAGACUUCCUGGCCAUGUAGGAGCCCUGUUGAGUGCCUGGUGCACUCUAGGUAGUAUGCGAGGCAUGGUUGCAAGGGUUCCCCAUUUCAACUUCACAGCACUUGGAUACACAGAAAAUUAACAUCCUCAUUUGACUAUUGAGGAAAAUGAGACUUUGAAAGUUUAAACGGAGAUAAGGCUUGGGAGGCAGACAGCCCUGUAAGUGACUUAAGUUCAGGAAGGAGAAGGACACUCAAUAUUUUUGUUCAGAGCACUGGGAAGGAGAGAGAGGGAUCAGUCACCAUCGGGCAUUUGAGAAGGUCCAGGAACAGGGGGCUGGUGAGCAGAGGGGGGAAUAACACCAGAGGGGCUGAAAUUGCUGAUUGCUGGGUUCACAGAUCUACCCACGAGCGGCCCAGGUACCCCAUGAGCGGCUGCUCUGUGUCAUCUGACCACUGGAUUGUAACCUGGGCUGAAAGAAUCAGAAGUCAGUGUGGCGAGGCAGGAGUCCUCAGAUGGUCAGAGCUGACUCUUCAACUCUUAAGGGCAAAAUGGAAAAUGUGAGCUUGUUGGUGGUCUUCGAAACACAGUAAGCAAUCCAUGCCCCUGAAGAGCAGGGAUAAUUAUAGGCAUGCCCUUGUUUUAUUGUGCUUUGCAGAUAUUGCAUGUUUUUACAAAUUGAAGAUUUAUGGCAACUCUGCAUACAGCAAAUCUAUUGAUGCCAUCUUUUUCCAAUAUCACAUGCUCACUCUGUGUCUCUGUCUCACAUUUUGGUAGUUCUCCCAAUAUUUCACACCUUAUUAUUAUUAUUAUAUCUGUUAUGAUGAUCUGUGGUCAGGGAUCUUUGAGGUUACUAUUGUAGUUGUUUUGAGGUGCCAUGAACUGCACCCAUGUAAGACAGCGAACAUAAUCAAUAAAUGUUGUGUGUUCUGACUGCUCCACCAACCGACUGUUUCCCUGUCUCUUUCUCUCUCCUCUGGCUCCCUAUUCCCUGAGGCACAAUCAUAUUGAAAUUAGGCCAAAUAAUAACCCUACAAUGGCUUCUAAAGGUUCAAGUAAAAGGAAGAGUCACAUCUCUUACUCUAAAUCAAAAGCUAGAAAUGAUUAAGCUUAGUGAGGAAGGCAUGUGGAAAGCUGAGA
rnacentral:lncRNA from 10 species